rnacentral:lncRNA from 1 species
GAGGACAAACCUGACUGGGGCAGCAUAGGGAUCAACCACCAAACCCUAGUGGGGGCAAGACUAAAACCCUCAAUCACAAGGAAAAACAGCCUGUUAACAACCACUGGACUGCCUACUUGACGUUAAUUAAGACUUGUCAUUAGAUGCUGUCAACUCUUAUUUAUCUUUGAUAACCCCCAGAGCCAUGUAAAUGUCAUGAUUGGCAUUUGAAACAAGCAGAGUCUGAAGUCCACAAGAAUAUGUUAGGUGAAGAAUAUUAUGAAAAAUGUAAAUCAUUAUGAAAUUGUUUUAAUCUUUCUUCAUGCCUGAUGAAUGAGUAUUCAGUUAUUGGUUAAGAAAUUUGACUAAAAUUGUAGGGAGCUUUGACCAGAGAAGUAAAAAUUGUGAAAAAAAAAUUAGACAUUCUAUCUUUAACUAGCAGCUGGGAAACUUGAUAUUCUGAUGCAAAACAAUUAGAUUGUUGAUUUCCAUCGUCUUUGUGGAUUCUUCACAUAAUAUGCUUUGAUUUGCAGGCAAUAUCACAAGGUAUUCUUUCAGAAGUCAGACUUAUUCUUCCUGUGCAUGUUGCGC